rnacentral:rRNA from 1 species
AGCACUUUGGAAAGAGAGUUAAACAGUAUGUGAAAUUGUUGAAAGGGAACGAUUGAAGUCAGUCGUGUCAAGGGGAUUCAGCUGGCUCUGCCGGUGUAUUCCCCUUGACGGGUCAACAUCAGUUUUCCCCGGCGGAAAAGGGCGACGGAAGGUGGCACCCUCGGGUGUGUUAUAGCCCGUUGCCGCAUACGUCGGUGAGACUGAGGAACGCAGCUCGCCCUCACGGGCCGGGGUUCGCCCACGUCGAGCUUAGGAUGUUGACAGAAUGGCUUUAAACGACCCGUCUUGAAACACGACCAAGGAGUCUAACAUAUCUGCGAGUGUUUGGGUGUCAAACCCGGGCCGUAAUGAAAGUAAACAUGGGAGGGAUCCGCAAGGAGCACCUUUGACCGUCUGGAUCUUCUGUGAUGGAUUUGAGUAAGAGCAUAUAUGCUGGGACCCAAAGAUGGUGAACUAUGCCUGAAUAGGGCGAAGCCAGGGGAAACUCUGGGGAGGCUCGUAGCGAUUCUGACGUGCAAAUCGAUCGUCAAAUUUGGGUAAGGGGCGAAAGACUAAUCGAACCAUCUAGUAGC